UAUACUAAGGGGUUAAGUUAUGUGAAAUAGGUAAAAAUGCAGUUAAAUAAUUAAGCUAAGUAAUAUGAUUUUACAUAAAAAAGUGAAAUUUAGAUAUAUAUAAAUAAUCUAGUAAUUGCUUUAAGAUUGAUUCUGCGAAAGUCUUGAGGGAAACUGGGAUUAGAUACCCCAUUAUUCUUGAUUAUAAAUUAACUAAGUUUACCAGAGUACUAUGAACUUUAAAGUUUAAAACUCAAAGAGCUUGGCGGUGUUCUAGACUUUUUAGGGGAACCUGUCUCAUAAUCGACAAUCCACGUUAAACCUAACCUUUAUUAGUUUAUCAGUUUGUAUACCAUCGUCGGCAGGUAACUUUUAAAAAAUUAGAAGUUAGCAACAAAAGCUUAUUAGCUAAUACGUCAGAUCAAGGUGCAGCCGAUAUAAAGGUGAGGAUGGGUUACAAUUAUGAAAUUAUAAUUACGGAAAUAUAGUAGAAAAACUAUAUUAGAAGGAGGACUUAAAAGUAAAAUAAAUUACAUAAAUAUUUUGAAUAUAGCUCUGGGACGUGC
rnacentral:rRNA from 1 species